rnacentral:rRNA from 1 species
GUGUCAGCAGCCGCGGUAAGACGAACCGUGCGAACGUUGUUCGGAAUCACUGGGCUUAAAGGGCGCGUAGGCGGAUUGCCGCGUCCGGGGUGAAAUGCCACGGCUCAACCGUGGAACGGCCUCGGAUACGGGCGGUCUCGAGGGAGGUAGGGGCAUCGGGAACUGUGAGUGGAGCGGUGAAAUGCGUUGAUAUUCACAGGAACUCCGGUGGCGAAGGCGCGGUGCUGGACCUCAUCUGACGCUGAGGCGCGAAAGCCAGGGGAGCGAACGGGAUUAGAUACCCCGGUAGUCCUGGCCCUAAACGAUGGGUACUAGGUAGUAGGCCGGACAUGGGCUUACUGCCGGAGCUAAAGUGCUAAGUACCCCGCCUGGGGAGUAUGGUCGCAAGGCUGAA